GCGCCAUAUUAACUGCUGUCGGAAGGAAGACUGCCGCUUUGCAUGCAGGCGUCCGCGCGGCUUGGGAAGAGGCUACCCUGUGACCCGGGCGGGAAAUUGGGACGGCCACCUACGUGACAGUUCUUCAGUCACCUCUAAAAUGAGGAACACAGGCUAUCGAUGCCCCCACAACCCCUUUUACGGAUUAGUCAAUUCCGACAGGUCCUGCUCAAGGUCAAUGGGGCUGGUGGCCUGGAGGACUCAUUUAAGAAUCAUGUGUCGAGUACCUACUUUGAACAAAGGUGGUACCAUCUAUGCCCUGGUGGCUGGGGGUGGACACAAACAUGUGACCAGGUAAUGGUGACAUGGUGUGGUUGGGGUGCAAUGGGUGACAGAGCACAGGGCAAUGAGGGGGCUCACAGGAGGCACCUGACCCAAGCUGGGGGCAUCCGGGAGGACUUCCUGGAGGAGGAGAUGUUGCAGCAAAGAUCUAAAGAGUGCAUGAGCCAGGUAGAGCCGGUUGGGGGUGACAUGAAGUACAGAAAGAAUGUUCCUGGUCAGGGGAACAGCAAGUGCAAAGGCUGA
rnacentral:lncRNA from 1 species